GUUCUUUGCAACAGUAAUGACUUCCUCAUCAUUGAAGAAACUUCUUCUCCAUAAAUGUCUUUUCAUAUUUUGAAACAGGAAGAAGUAUGAAGGUGUGAGGUUGAGAAGUUGGAAAAAUAUGGGGGAAUGAGGCAAAAUUUUGUAACUGCAUUUGAGCAGAAAUAUGUCUGCUCAAAUGCACACACAUUUCUGCUGCUUUCAUGUGUCUGCUCAAUUUCUAUGGCUCAAUGUGCAGGUGUAGUGUCACCUAGCAGCACCACAACUUUUGACAGCAAACCUUGUUUCAUGUCUUUUUCUCUUGUUACUAUAUACUGUCCUGUAAUUUUUAUAAUAAAUUCCUAUAGUAUACCUGAUAAAUAUUGAGGUAAACUUAUCAAGACAUGAUCCACUCUAAUUAAAAAUGAUUCACAUUACACAGCAAGGAAGAUUAGUGAGG
rnacentral:lncRNA from 1 species